AAGGGGCAAGAAACAGAGAAAAAAUCCCUUUUUUUUGCUAACACAUAUAGCAACGAAAGAGAAACAGAUUGAAAUAACAAGCUACUACGGUAAACUCCACUUUCUUGUCUUUCUUUAACAUUUUUAGUUUAUUUUUCUUUUCCUACCAUUAUUUAUCCACCAUUAGUAUAUGCCUACUUGAUUUAGAAAAUCACAAAAAAAUCAAAUAGUUUGAUUAGUAUUGGAGGAGAGUACUCUUAGUUUACUCCGCAUUAGCAAGGUUCAAAAUAAUUUAAAGUUUUGUUCUUUAUAUGGGGCAUUGUGUUAGUUUGGAAUAAGUUAACUAGGGAUUGGAUAUGAAUGUUAGUGAAUAAAUAUUUUCACCUUUGAGGUACUCUGAAUGCAAUUAGUCUGAUAGUUGGUUCUUAGUCCAAUUAACCAGGAAAGGAUUCUAAGUAUAAUAUUUGGAAGAACUAAUCUAAGUUAGUAUUAGUUUGUUAGGAUGAUAAUCACUGCCAAUGGGAUAUUUCCCUUGGACAAGAGAAUCAUAAAUAAAGGUAUAUUCUUUGAGCACGCACUAAUGUAAAUUGAACUUGAUUAUUUCAUGUAAAUUGAAAAUUUGUGAAUCGGGAGUGUUUGGAGGAUACGUGAAGUCGAAGCUGAGCUAGAUUUAAGGUGAGUUGAGGCUUACUCUCCCAAUAGAAAAUUCCAUUAGAACCCCUGUACAUGUGUUCAAUAAAUCUAAGCCAUGUCUUCUUGCGAUCCAAAUAUUACUUUCACUUCAUUCUUAUUCAGUACGAUGAAACAUGUGACAGAAAUACAUGCUCAUUUGUAUUGCCAGUCAUUACAUGUAUUUGUUUGUGAUAUUUAUAUUCAGUUAAGUAUUCAGUUUCAACAUUAAUUCAUGCAUUAAUAUGAUCAUUUAGUAGGGAGAAGUGGCCAACCUCCCCCAGCGUGAGUGCCAUGAUGCCAGGGUUAGUUACCCCACGCUUGCAGGUGCCAAUUGUUUGUUGGGGAGAUAGGCCGACACUCCCCCAUACGUGUUCCCAGAUGUUCACGUAAGCAGGGCUACUACGUGUACCGAUUUUCAGAAAAUGUUCAGUUUUGGCUUAUAGUUCAGCUUAUAGUAUCAGCUUACAAUUGAUUACUUGCUUAUAAAAUUUUAUAUGAUUUAUAAGAUUUUCGGUAUGCCUGUUUUCUUUCAUAUUUUUCCCAGAAGGUCUCGCUCUGCCUUUUUAAAAGGUAGCCUAUGAGACUUACUGGGUAUCCUUUGGUGAUACUUAGCCCGUUUGGGUCUGCUACGUCGUGUGGCAAGUAUUGAGGACGCAGGUAACGAGGCACGUGACUAGAGAAGAUAUUUCGGAUUUAGUUUACAGACUCCGUUGAUUCAUCCCAGUGGUAGCGGACUCUUUUCAUACUGUUAUUUCUUUUUAGAUGUUUAUUUUAUUUUCGGGGAAUGCCCUGCAGGCUAUGUAUUUCAGUUUUGUCAAAGUCUAGAGGCUCAUGACUUGUUUGUGGGUUAGUAUUAAGAUAUUUUAGGAUUUAUCCUUUAUUGAUUAUUUUAUCAGUCCGUUUAAGAACUGCAACUUGAGUAGAAUGAAUAUUUAAGCGCAUUAGGUUGGUUGCUAUUGAAUCUAAAGUUUUGAUACAAUUAGCACAGGGUUCACUCAACGAGUGGUAAGGGUGGAGUGCCUAUCACGUCCCACCUCAGUUGGGGGCGUGACAAGGUGGUAUCAGAGCAGCCAGGUUUGAGAAGUCAUAGAGAGUCAUGAGUCGUGUCUAGUAAAGUCUCAUUUAUGGGUAUGUUGUGCAUAAUACUUAUAUUUGGGAGGCUGCAGGACAUGUUAGGAAAACAUUUCUUUCUUUGACUCUUACAUUGUACGUUAGAGCUAAACAUUUCAGAAUUCUAACAAUCCUUUUAUCCCUCGUUUCAGAACAAAAUGGUUAGAACAAGAUCAACUUCAUCAUCUUAUACUAACAAUGUUGAUAUAGCAGCUGGUAAUCAUCAAGAAGCACCAGCAGAGGUGCAUACUGCACCAAUGGCACCAGCUACAGUUAGAGGACGUGGAAGAGGUAGAGAUCGUGGUCAAGGUCAGAAUGCUAGGGGUAGAGGUAGAAAUGUCAUAGGUAAUCAGGCUCGUUGUAGGGCCACUGGACAGACAUAGGCUCCACCUCAGUAGGCUGAUAAUGACCAGGUGGAAAUCACACCCCCUCAUAACCCACUCAGGGCAAAUCAACCAUAACAGCACGAUGAUCGAAUUGCCAG
rnacentral:lncRNA from 1 species